rnacentral:rRNA from 1 species
UGGGGAAUAUUGCACAAUGGGCGCAAGCCUGAUGCAGCCAUGCCGCGUGUGGGAAGAAGGCCUUCGGGUUGUAAAGCACUUUCAGCGAGGAGGAAGGGUAGUGUGUUAAUAGCACAUUGCAUUGACGUUACUCGCAGAAGAAGCACCGGCUAACUCCGUGCCAGCAGCCGCGGUAAUACGGAGGGUGCAAGCGUUAAUCGGAAUUACUGGGCGUAAAGCGCACGCAGGCGGUUUGUUAAGUCAGAUGUGAAAUCCCCGCGCUUAACGUGGGAACUGCAUUUGAAACUGGCAAGCUAGAGUCUUGUAGAGGGGGGUAGAAUUCCAGGUGUAGCGGUGAAAUGCGUAGAGAUCUGGAGGAAUACCGGUGGCGAAGGCGGCCCCCUGGACAAAGACUGACGCUCAGGUGCGAAAGCGUGGGGAGCAAACA